UCACCUCUACUACUCAUAUGAUGAAGACUUUGAAUUCAGAGAAGAAGAAAAUAGGGCACCUGUUUCUUCGUCCCCUAUAAAAAUCAGUUGAACACCACAGAUUACUGCAAUAUUACACUGACAGAAAUAAGAAUCAGCCCCAGUUGUUUUUAAUGUGCCAUUUUCUUAAUUCUUCCCCAGGACUUGCAGCCAGUGCCAGGGACCAUUACAGAACAGGAUGGUUACUGAAAUGAAAACUUACCAGAUGCAAAGUGAGAAGACACCAACCGGUUGUGUAACUGAACAUUUCUGCUGCUAACAAAAUCAUCUUUAAGUGCAUCAGAACAAUGCCAUUGCAAGUAUACCAUUGUUGAAGAGUUUGGAGAAGAGAAAAUUAACUUCUGAUCAACUGAAAAAAGCCCUUUAGGGUUUACACUAGGCAAGAAACAAGGCUUGGCUUCUCCCACAGAGAACUUACAAUUUGUUUGAUUUUAAGUUUUCAUUUGCAAAGCAUGUUUAUAGAGAAGAACAUUGAAUAGCAAAUGCCCUGGACAACCAGCUUAUUUUCUUACUAACAAAACAUUAUGACACCCUAAAAUCCAUUUUAAAAACUCCUGUUACAUCUUUAAAUCAUUUGUAUAUCUCUCAUAACAGCUAUCUCAAAUCCCUUUUAAGUAGCACCUUCCAGAAGAUGGCUAGUUUCUUAAAAAAAACCCCAUCCUUUUUUGCAUAUACUACUCAAUCCUGUUCCCCAUUACGAACAUCUCCAUGUGCAUAUUUGUGUGUACAGCUGAUACCGCAAUAAAAUGGCACAAAAUGCA